CCCUUAGAUGUUCUGGGCCGCACGCGCGCUACACUGAUGCAUUCAACAAGCCUAGCCUUGACCGAGAGGUCCGGGUAAUCUUUGAAACUGCAUCGUGAUGGGGCUAGAUUAUUGCAAUUAUUAAUCUUCAACGAGGAAUGCCUAGUAAGCGUGAUUCAUCAAAUCGCGUUGAUUACGUCCCUGCCCUUUGUACACGCCGCCCGUCGCUCCUACCGAUUGAAUGUGUUGGUGAGGAGCUCGGAUUGGCAGCAGUUGGUGGUUCGCCACCGGCUAUUGCUGAGAAGUCCUCCAAACCGCCCCAUUUAGAGGAAGGAGAAGUCGUAACA
rnacentral:rRNA from 1 species